CAGCGGUCUGUCCCAGUGCCAGUACACUUUCUGCUCUCCCAGCCGGGCACCUUCGGGCUUAGGGAUCCCUUGGAGGGAAGCCCGCCGGGAAGCUGAAGACAGUGGUCACCGCCCUCGGUCAUUACUUCCCGGGACCCGGACCCUAACCCUGCGCCACAUCUCCACCCGCCCCCAGCCGUGUCCUGGCUGCGCAGCUGGAAAGGCCUCAGUUUCCCCAUCUGUGCUGUGAGGAGUGGAAGGAACGGGAUGACUAGGAGCCUUUUAAGACCGAGUAUUCGAGGUUCUUUCCGGCCCCGCGGAGCCAGGAGGUGCCAGCCGAGAUGCGCGUGCCGCGCGCGCCCUCCAGUGCCCGGUUCCCGCUUCUGCACGGUCCUCGCUGGGCAAGGGCGUCCCAAGAAAGGAGGAAAGGAAGAACUCCAUACAUUGUCAUUAUUGUGAACUGAUGAACAAAAGAGUCAAUAGGGAAGGGAAUGGGUAAAUAAACCUCAGAAUGAAGAAAUAAUA
rnacentral:lncRNA from 10 species